UGUGCGCGCGCGCGCUCAUUGUUGUUGUGCUAGCGCCGUCGGCCACUAGUGUUUGUUUUGUGUUGGGAGACGCGAAUCGAUUUAGUGUAUAGACAAAAAGCAUAGGGAAUUCAGUUCGUUUGUUGGUUACGUUCAUUGAAAUGAGCUACGGCAGACUUCCGCCCGACAUAGAGGGCAUGACUUCGUUAAAGGUGGAUAAUUUAACGUAUCGCACGUCGCCGGAGACGCUGCGGCGCGUCUUUGAAAAGUACGGCCGAGUCGGCGACGUCUAUAUUCCCAGAGACAGAUACUCAAAAGAGAGCCGGGGCUUCGCCUUCGUGCGCUUUCACGACAAGAGGGACGCCGAGGACGCGAUGGACGCGAUGGACGGAGCGAUCCUGGACGGCCGAGAGCUCCGGGUCCAGAUGGCCCGCUACGGCAGACCGCCGGACUCCUACUACAGCAGCGGGCGCCGCGGAGGAGGAGGAGCCGCCGCCAGGAGACACAGCCGCCGGAGUCCGAGGCGUCGGAGGCGCAGCCGUUCCAGAAGCAGGAGCCGCUCUCGUUCCCGCAGCCAUUCCCGUUACAGCAGGUCGCGGUCACGCUCCUAUUCCCAUUCCCGCUCUCGCUCCAAGUCGCACACGCCCCACAAGAGGAAGUCCAAGUCUCCUUCCAGGUCUAGAUCACGUUCACGAUCCAAAUCCAGGUCUCGUUCCAGAAGCCGCACACCUGCGUCGAACAGAGACUCUAAGUCCAGGUCAAGGUCUAAAAGCCAACCGAAAUCUGCUGGGGAAGAAGGGCCUGCAUCCUAAAACUCUUCAUUGCUGCUGAAUCCAGUAUGGCAAUGUAAAAGCAGGGCUGUGUGGUGCAGUUUGAGCUGGUAGAGGGGUAUGUGAUCCAGCUACCUGCUCCUGCUGGGGUUGCUUUGAAGCAGAUGGGUGUUUUGGUGGUGCUGAGGUCUGUCUCAUCGUGGGGCGAUCCUACAUGUGUGGCCUCUGUUGGAGCCUGAGGAACCUCGGAUUGAAAACCCUGAAAUCUACACAAUGGCUACAUGGGCCUAAAGGUCAUUAUGACUGAUUGGCUUAUUCAAACUGUUUGAUAGUUAUACAGCCCUUUGUUCUUUGUGUACAUUGUUCCUACUUUCAGUGAGGUUUUUUUAAACAUGUAUGUCCUUUUUAAUUCGUUGAGUAGGACGAGCAUCACAAUUCUAUUGGCCUUUUAAGGUAAAGCUGUUUGGGUGAUGGUUCAGAGUGUGCUAGCUGCACCUCGAUUGUGUCACUUUUGUAAGAAAUUGAUUUAGAUUUGGCAUUUGUGUUAAAAUUUGCUUUAAUUUGCAAAUGCUUCAAAUUGUUGUUGUGCUUUAUUUUGAAAUGAUUUGGAAAUAGUUUGAAUGGCUUGUGUUUUAUUACUGUAUGUUACAGUCCUGAUGUUAAACCUUUUUUGGCCUUUCGUGUGUGAUAUUUGGAUUCUAACCCAAUGUCUUGUGUAUUUUUUGUGCACUAGGCGCAGUUGUCUAGCUGUUGAGUUUUGCUGGUUAGCUGUUAAGAUCCGGUGUUGCAGUGCUGAGUGCUUGGCUGUUUCCGGUUUUCUCCAGAUUUCAGCUGUUGCAGGUGUGGCCAAGGUCAAGCAGCAUCUGCAAAUACAUUUUUGGUGGCAUAAAUGCUGUCGUCUUACAAAGUUUGUUUACUUUGUUCCGUAAUUUGGAAAAUUGGAGUAUAUUAAACUAUACGAUGAACUUUGUUCUGUCGCUUUAUUUUUGGAUCUUCAAUAAAUGAAAUAUUAAAUCCUUA